CCUACGGGUGGCAGCAGUGGGGAAUAUUGCACAAUGGGCGAAAGCCUGAUGCAGCAACGCCGCGUGAAGGAAGAAGGGUUUCGGCUCGUAAACUUCUAUCAACAGGGACGCAAGAAAUGACGGUACCUGAAUAAGAAGCCCCGGCUAACUACGAGCAAGCGGCCGCGGUAAUACGUCGGGGGCAAGCGUUAGACGGAAUUAAUGGGUGGAAGGGGUGAGUAGGCGGCAUGGGAAGCCAGAUGUGAAAGCCUUGGGCUUAAACCGAGGAUUGGAUUUGGAACUAUCAAGCUAGAGUACAGGAGAGGAAAGCGGAAUUCCUAGUGUAGCGGUGAAAUGCGUAGAUAUUAGGAAGAACACCAGUGGCGAAGGCGGCUUUCUGGACUGACACUGACGCUGAGGCACGAAAGCGUGGGGAGCGAACAGGAUUAGAUACCCUGGUAGUC
rnacentral:rRNA from 1 species